rnacentral:miRNA from 1 species
GUUCAAGAAAGUCGUGGAAAA